rnacentral:rRNA from 1 species
CGGGUGAGUAACGCGUGGGUAACCUGCCUUGUACAGGGGGAUAACAGUUGGAAACGGCUGCUAAUACCGCAUAAGCGCACGGCAUCGCAUGAUGCAGUGUGAAAAACUCCGGUGGUAUAAGAUGGACCCGCGUUGGAUUAGCUAGUUGGUGAGGUAACGGCCCACCAAGGCGACGAUCCAUAGCCGGCCUGAGAGGGUGAACGGCCACAUUGGGACUGAGACACGGCCCAG